GACGCAGGGAGUCCGGUGCACGGGGUAAGCCUGUGUACCGUGAGGGAGACAACCCAGAGCUGGGUUAAGGUCCCCAAGUGUAGACUAAGUGCGAUCGAAGGUGGUCUCAAGCCCUAGACAGCCGGGAGGUGAGCUUAGAAGCAGCUACCCUCUAAGAAAAGCGUAACAGCUUACCGGCCGAGGGUUGAGGCGCCCAAAAUGAUCGGGGCUCAAGUCUACCACCGAGACCUAGCAGCACCUUUCACAAGGUGAUCUCGUAGGUUGGCGUUCUGUUCGGGUGGAAGCANGUCUACCACCGAGACCUAGCAGCACCUUUCACAAGGUGAUCUCGUAGGUUGGCGUUCUGUUCGGGUGGAAGCAUGGAAGAGAUUUCGUGUGGACCGUUCAGUAACGAAAAUCCUGGUCAUAGUAGCAGCGUUAGUCGGGUUAGAACCCCGACGGCCGAACGAGUAAGGGUUCCUCAGCAAUGCUGAUCAGCUGAGGGUUAGCCGGUCCUAAGUCANUGACAACAGGGAAAUAGGUUAAUAUUCCUAUGCCAGUGUGCACUCAAAGCCGACGCUUUGGGGCCGCCUGAGCUGGGCUUUCGCCCAGUCGAACUAUCGAAAUUCGUGGAAGCCGUAAUGGCACGAAGCGAACGAAUGGUAGGAUCGCGCAAGUCAGGCCAACCUAGAGCCCGUGAAAAGGCAAGCACACUGUCCGUACCGAGAUCCGACACAGGUACUCAUGGCGGCGAAAGCCAAGGUCUGUCGGGAUCAACCGACGUUAGGGAAUUCGGCAAGUUAGUCCCGUACGUUCGCAAUAAGGGAUGCCUGCCUCGCGAAGAGGCAGGUCGCAGUGACUCGGACGCUCCGACUGUCUAGUAACAACAUAGGUGACCGCAAAUCCGUAAGGACUCGUACGGUCACUGAAUCCUGCCCAGUGCAGGUAUCUGAACACCCCGUACAAGGGGACGAAGGACCUGUUAACGGCGGGGGUAACUAUGACCCUCUUAAGGUAGCGUAGUACCUUGCCGCUUCAGUAGCGGCUUGCAUGAAUGGAUCAACGAGAGCGUCACUGUCCCAACGUUGGGCCCGGUGAACUGUACGUUCCAGUGCGGAGUCUGGAGACCCCCAAGGGGAAGCGAAGACCCUAUAGAGCUUUACUGCAGGCUGUCACUGAGACGUGGUCGCCAUUGUGCAGCAUAGGUAGGAGGCAGUACACAGGUACCCGCGCUAGCGGGCCACCGAGCCAACAUUGAAAUACUACCCGAUGGUGACUGCGACUCUCACUCCUGGCGGAGGACACUGGUAGCCGGGCAGUUUGACUGGGGCGGUACGCGCCUGAAAAGAUAUCGGGCGCGCCCCAAGAUUUCCUCCCCCGAGUCGGAGACUCGGGGAAGAGCGCAAGAGCAAAAGGAAGUCUGACAGUGUCCGGCACAACGACGGACGCUGACGCGAAAGCGUGGUCUAGCGAACCAAUUAGGCUGCUUGAUGCGGCCAAUUGCUGACAGAAAAGCUACCUUAGGGAUAACAGAGUCGUCACCCGCAAGAGCACAUAUCGACCGGGUGGCUUGCUACCUCGAUGUCGGUUCCCUCCAUCCUGCCCGUGCAGAAGCGGGCAAGGGUGAGGUUGUUCGCCUAUUAAAGGAGGUCGUGAGCUGGGUUUAGACCGUCGUGAGACAGGUCGGCUGCUAUCUAUUGGGGGGGUUACGGUAUCUGACGGGAACGUUCGUAUAGUACGAGAGGAACUACGAAUGGGUGCCACUCGUGUACCAGCUGUCCGAAAGGGCACGUGCUGGGCAGCGACGCACCACGGGGUAAGAGCUGAACGCAUCUAAGCUCGAAACCCACCUGGAAAAGAGAUACCANGUCCGAAAGGGCACGUGCUGGGCAGCGACGCACCACGGGGUAAGAGCUGAACGCAUCUAAGCUCGAAACCCACCUGGAAAAGAGAUACCAUUGAGGCCACUCGUAGAAGACGAGAUCGAUAGACUCGGGGUGUACGCACCAAGGCAACGAGGUGUUGAGCCCGCGAGCACUAAC
rnacentral:rRNA from 1 species